GGGGGGGGGGGGGGGGGGCACUGCACCGCAUGCCCAUGGUGACGAGGAAACAGCUGACGCAGGCAACAACGGCAUAGACCAACAUCUGAAGGAUGACAGGGAAAAACAGCUCCAUCCCCUUGGGAAAGAAGGAAAGAAGGGAAGAAUAAUGUGGAUUUAUUGAGGAGAAAGAGAAGUAAAUAUUUGGUGGCGUUUAAGAAGUGUUUGUGUUCCACCUGCAUGACAAGAUGAGGACUUUUUUUAAGGCAGCACUUCCAACAAGAAGAAGAUGAGGACAUGUUUGAGGCAGCACUUCCAACAAGAAGAAGAUGAGGACAUGUUUGAGGCAGCACUUCCAACAAGAAGAAGAUGAGGACAUGUUUGAGGCAGCACUUCCAACAAGAAGAAGAUGAGGACAUGUUUGAGGCAGCACUUCCAACAAGAAGAAGAUGAGGACAUGUUUGAGGCAGCACUUCCAACAAAAAGAAGAUGAGGACAUGUUUGAGGCAGCACUUCCAACAAGAAGAAGAUGAGGACAUGUUUGAGGCAGCACUUCCAACAAGAAGAAGAUGAGGACAUGUUUGAGGCAGCACUUCCAACAAGAAGAAGAUGAGGACAUGUUUGAGGCAGCACUUCCAACAAGAAGAAGAUGAGGACAUGUUUGAGGCAGCACUUCCAACAAGAAGAAGAUGAUGAGGACAUGUUUGAGGCAGCACUUCCAACAAGAAGAAGAUGAGGACAUGUUUGAGGCAGCACUUCCAACAAGAAGAAGAUGAGGACAUGUUUGAGGCAGCACUUCCAACAAGAAGAAGAAGAUGAGGACAGGUUUGAGGCAGCACUUCCAACAAGAAGAAGAAGAUGAGGACAUGUUUGAGGCAGCACUUCCAACAAGAAGAAGAUGAGGACAUGUUUGAGGCAGCACUUCCAACAAGAAGAAGAUGAGGACAUGUUUGAGGCAGCACUUCCAACAAGAAGAAGAUGAGGACAUGUUUGAGGCAGCACUUCCAACAAGAAGAAGAUGAGGACAUGUUUGAGGCAGCACUUCCAACAAGAAGAAGAUGAGGACAUGUUUGAGGCAGCACUUCCAACAAGAAGAAGAUGAGGACAUGUUUGAGGCAGCACUUCCAACAAGAAGAAGAAGAUGAGGACAUGUUUGAGGCAGCACUUCCAACAAGAAGAAGAUGAGGACAUGUUUGAGGCAGCACUUCCAACAAGAAGAAGAUGAGGACAUGUUUGAGGCAGCACUUCCAACAAGAAGAAUAUGAGGACAUGUUUGAGGCAGCACUUCCAACAAGAAGAAGAUGAGGACAUGUUUGAGGCAGCACUUCCAACAAGAAGAAGAUGAGGACAUGUUUAAGGCAGCACUUCCAACAAGAAGAAUAUGAGGACAUGUUUGAGGCAGCACUUCCAACAAGAAGAAGAUGAGGACAUGUUUGAGGCAGCACUUCCAACAAGAAGAAGAAGAUGAGGACAUGUUUGAGGCAGCACUUCCAACAAGAAGAAGAUGAGGACAUGUUUGAGGCAGCACUUCCAACAAGAAGAAGAAGAUGAGGACAUGUUUGAGGCAGCACUUCCAACAAGAAGAAGAUGAGGACAUGUUUGAGGCAGCACUUCCAACAAGAAGAAGAAGAUGAGGACAUGUUUGAGGCAGCACUUCCAACAAGAAGAAGAUGAGGACAUGUUUGAGGCAGCACUUCCAACAAGAAGAAGAAGAUGAGGACAUGUUUGAGGCAGCACUUCCAACAAGAAGAAGAAGAUGAGGACAUGUUUGAGGCAGCACUUCCAACAAGAAGAAGAUGAGGACAUGUUUGAGGCAGCACUUCCAACAAGAAGAAGAAGAUGAGGACAUGUUUGAGGCAGCACUUCCAACAAGAAGAAGAUGAGGACAUGUUUGAGGCAGCACUUCCAACAAGAAGAAGAUGAGGACAUGUUUGAGGCAGCACUUCCAACAAGAAGAAGAUGAGGACAUGUUUGAGGCAGCACUUCCAACAAGAAGAAGAUGAGGACAUGUUUGAGGCAGCACUUCCAACAAGAAGAAGAUGAGGACAUGUUUGAGGCAGCACUUCCAACAAGAAGAAGAAGAUGAGGACAUGUUUGAGGCAGCACUUCCAACAAGAAGAAGAUGAGGACAUGUUUGAGGCAGCACUUCCAACAAGAAGAAGAUGAGGACAUGUUUGAGGCAGCACUUCCAACAAGAAGAAGAUGAUGAGGACAUGUUUGAGGCAGCACUUCCAACAAGAAGAAGAUGAGGACAUGUUUGAGGCAGCACUUCCAACAAGAAGAAGAAGAUGAGGACAGGUUUGAGGCAGCACUUCCAACAAGAAGAAGAAGAUGAGGACAUGUUUGAGGCAGCACUUCCAACAAGAAGAAGAUGAGGACAUGUUUGAGGCAGCACUUCCAACAAGAAGAAGAUGAGGACAUGUUUGAGGCAGCACUUCCAACAAGAAGAAGAAGAUGAGGACAUGUUUGAGGCAGCACUUCCAACAAGAAGAAGAAGAUGAGGACAUGUUUGAGGCAGCACUUCCAACAAGAAGAAGAUGAGGACAUGUUUGAGGCAGCACUUCCAACAAGAAGAAGGACUAGAAGUGACGUCAUACCUGAGUGGAAAAAGUUUGGACACCCCUGCCAUAUGGUCUCCACAUCAAAGGUCCAUUUCCCUACGAAGACCAUGCAUCCUGCCCAUCAACCAAUGGCCUCACCAGCCAAGUUUGAUCACUCUAUGGAGGCUGUACACCCCUCCCAUCCCCACACCGCUGGCCCAUCACCAAAUGUCCACACCUAUGGUCCUUCACCCGGCGUACACAAUAGCUUGCUACCUGAAUCCACCUGAGAAUAAAAAGGCAGCUUUCCUGGCACCAGACAGGAGAGAUGCAGGCAACCCAUCUAUUGAGGACACUAUCUGUUAUCAACCACAGGCAGAAAAAUCAUGGACGCCAUGUGAUGGAUGUAGGGAGGAGUUGGAAAAAAUGUGGGCAGAAAAAGAAGGAAUUGAAGAAGUCCUCUUGAAAAUAGAUCCGGUCCAAGUCAGAGUACUUCAAACUCUCUGCGACUUGGUUGGAGACAAAUACAGCGACGGCCCUCCUCAACAAUCGGGCCAGCAAGAGCUCUUUCCUGAGAGCGGCGUAUUCAUAUCAUUGUUCCGCCUUGCUGCCAUGAGACAUGCUGCAGAGCCCAAAUGUAUGCCUUUAUUUGGACCUCUUUUUUCUACAGUAGAGGAGUGUCAAAAUGCUGUCCCUUUUUGACGCCCUGGAAACAAACCUGCAGGAACACCAAAGCGCAUCCUUAAGCGGAAAAAAGUGGAAGGAAUCCUUACGUAUGUCCUGAGAUGCAGUACCCUUCCUGAUUGGGACGAUAUUGAGGAGGUCAAGCUCAAGAAAGCUUUGGUAAACAAAAGUCAGGCCAGAGAGGGUUUGAAGUAGGCCCUUGUACCUGUCAAGUUCAUUCUAUGGUAGGAUGUUCAAUAUUUUGGUCUAGGUUUGCGCAGUAUAUGUUGUCAAAAAUGGCCCUAUGAUGUAGCUUUUAGUACCAGGUUAUACUGUGAUAAUGCAUAUUGAGCUGUGCUGUGCCAAGCAAAUUUGGCAGUGAUGCAACCUCACUAACAAGCUAGCGGCUAAUAUCCUUUUACAGUUCAAAGUUGUUUCCAAAUCAAAAAAAAAUGACGCAGUACGUUACUGCUUACAUAAUCAGGUAUAUUAGUAGCUUUUGUAACCAAUUUCAACUUGUUUCAAUGAUCAUUUGUGUACCAAAUGUUAUAUUGUUAUGGCAGGAGGCUGUUCUAUUGUUUACAACAGUGUUUCUUAAUCCUAGGGCUGGGGCCCACUGUUUGGCUGCGAGUACCCCUUGGAAGCCGCCAAUAAAUAUCUGUUUCUUAGCUGUGGUCCGUCCAUAUGGGCCGCAAUGGUACUCGCUUGUAAUCCACUUUAGUGUAGAAGGACUCAUUCAGUGUUUAUAUUUCAUUUGGCCCCAGACCCCUCUGUAGUGGAACAUUCUGAGACCCCUCUGUGGUGGAAAAGUUGGUCGUGCCCCGAGGUUAAAAAUGUUAAGAAUCCCUGCUUUUCAAUGUGUGAUUAUUUUUUGGUAUGUAGACCAGUUCCAGACAGCACGGUUACAAUUUUAUAAAUGUAUUUCAGUUUUUGCUUGGAAUAUUUCAAAAAUGGAAAUGUUGUCAUUUACUCACCUUCUUACUGAGAUGAAGUCAAGUGUUUUUUGAACUAAGGUACCUGCUUUGCUCAACAAGGAGUUCAAAAAACUACACCUGACUUUUUCACAAUAACAAAGUGAGUACUUCAGGUCAAAUUCAUUUAUUUUUGUAUUUGUUUUAUUUUCUGUAUAUUGUUUUCUAUGUUGUCUUAAGUAUUGUAAAUGACAAUAUGUACAUGAUGUAUGUACUAAUUUACUACAUUUACAUUUUGUUAUUUCAUCUAUUUUUAAAUUAUAUUUUAAAAUAAAGUGAUACACCUUUCAAUAUUUGAGUAUUUGUUUAGUGCUAUUUCUAAUGAAGUCAGAUGAAUAUUUAAAUUGCACUCUCAAUUUGUUCUCAUGAUUCUCAAAUUUGAGAUAUGAUAAUAAAUUGAAGAGAAAUAAUCAAGACAUGAAAAAGACAUACAUAAGAUCUCUUUUAUUGCUCACACAUCUCAUUUCUUUCUCUUUU